rnacentral:rRNA from 1 species
AACGUAGGUGGCGAGCGUUAUCCGGAUUUACUGGGCGUAAAGCGUGUGCAGGCGGAGGAACAAGUGGUGUAUGAAAUCGCUCGGCUAAACCGGGCGGGGUUAUGCCAGACUGUUUUUCUAGAGUGCGAGAGAGGGGCGUGGAAUUCCGGGUGUAGUGGUGAAAUGCGUAGAGAUCCGGAGGAACCCCAGAGGCGAAGGCGGCGCCCUGGCUCGCAACUGACGCUCAGACACGACAGCAUGGGGAGCGAACGGG